UACGUAGGGUGCAAGCGUUGUCCGGAAUUAUUGGGCGUAAAGAGCUCGUAGGCGGUCUGUCGCGUCUGCUGUGAAAACUCAGGGCUUAACUCUGAGCUUGCAGUGGGUACGGGCAGACUAGAGUGCGGUAGGGGAGACUGGAAUUCCUGGUGUAGCGGUGAAAUGCGCAGAUAUCAGGAGGAACACCGGUGGCGAAGGCGGGUCUCUGGGCCAUAACUGACGCUGGAGGAGCGAAAGCGUGGGAGCGAACAGG
rnacentral:rRNA from 1 species